CUCUCUCUUUCUCUCCACAGGCUGCGGGCUGGGACACAAAGAUCGGUUAUUCAGACUGCUGGUUUUCUCUCACCUCUCCACUUGGGACGACAUACAGUAAGUACGGUACAGGUAGGGUUUCCUCGUUCUCUUUCUCUCUCUCCACAGUAAUACUGCACAUCCAGAGCUCACUCACAGCAUAGGCCAGGUAAUAACAACUGAGACCUGCAGCCUUUUCGUUCUUCCAUGGCGAGGUUAGCGAAGGCGGGGGUUUUCUGACAAUACACACACAGCAGUACACAGCACCACGUCAAAGUGAAGUUUCCACAACAACACAGACUCACCCACCGCACUCAAAGUGAACAUCUAGGACGCCCCGUCUUCCUCCACUUCGCCGGAGUCCGUUAGACGUGUUUAGCACAGCCCAGUCAGCAUUCACGUCGCUGUGAUAGCCCCAGUUUGUCCUCCUCCGGCUCACCCACCACACUGUUCAGGGGUAGGGCCGUCCUCCUUUUCCCGGAGUCGUUUGCUACAAAACAGGUUAGUAUACAGUGUGUCCCAAACUCAAUGUUCCA